UUUAUGGAGAGUUUGAUCCUGGCUCAGAGUGAACGCUGGCGGCGUGCUUAACACAUGCAAGUCGAACGAGAACGGAUUUUAGCUUGCUAAAAUUGUCAGCUAAGUGGCGCACGGGUGAGUAAUAUAUAGGUAACGUGCCCUAGAGAAGAGGAUAACAUUUGGAAACGAAUGCUAAUACUCUAUAUGCCUUUAAGUCAUAAGACUGCAAGGGAAAUAUUUAUAGCUUUGGGAUUGGCCUGUACGGUAUCAGCUUGUUGGUGAGGUAAUGGCUCACCAAGGCAAUGACACCUAACUGGUUUGAGAGGAUGAUCAGUCACACUGGAACUGAGACACGGUCCAGACUCCUACGGGAGGCAGCAGUGGGGAAUAUUGCACAAUGGACGAAAGUCUGAUGCAGCAACGCCGCGUGGAGGAUGACACAUUUCGGUGCGUAAACUCCUUUUAUAUAGGAAGAUAAUGACGGUACUAUAUGAAUAAGCGCCGGCUAACUCCGUGCCAGCAGCCGCGGUAAUACGGAGGGCGCAAGCGUUACUCGGAAUCACUGGGCGUAAAGAGCGUGUAGGCGGGUUAAUAAGUCAGAAGUGAAAUCCAAUAGCUCAACUAUUGAACUGCUUUUGAAACUGUUAACCUAGAAUAUGGGAGAGGUAGAUGGAAUUUCUGGUGUAGGGGUAAAAUCCGUAGAGAUCAGAAGGAAUACCGAUUGCGAAGGCGAUCUACUGGAACAUUAUUGACGCUGAGACGCGAAAGCGUGGGGAGCAAACAGGAUUAGAUACCCUGGUAGUCCACGCCGUAAACGAUGAACACUAGGUGCUGCGGGUAUUGACCCCUGCGGUGCCGUAGCUAACGCGUUAAGUGUUCCGCCUGGGGAGUACGGCCGCAAG
rnacentral:rRNA from 1 species